rnacentral:lncRNA from 1 species
UCUAAUAAAUUUAUUUAUUUAUUUCAAGUACUAGAGUUGUUUACAUUUUGAGUUUUCUUACUCAAAAAGACAUUUCUUGCUUGAAAAGCACAAUUACCUUUCCCAAGACACAUAUUUGACCAUUCUGUCUCUGAUAAUGUUUGAUUGAGCCUUAGUUUCGAUGGACAUAAGGAGGAGUUACAAAUCUGCUAUUCCGAAGGAGAACCAAGCAAACCGGGUUGUCUGUAACCGACAGCAGAAACCACAGACGGAGGCGUAAAAAAUCUACUGUCUUCGGAAAAAUCGCAAAGUCACCAACUGACCAUCAUUCUCCAUAUCCCCAGUAGAUACAAAAUGAAACCACAAGUGUGUGCUUUAAUAUCUGAGGAGCCUGUCACAAAGCUAAUCCAUAGGCCUACACACCAGUGCCGUCUCUUACCCACGGUAACAUGAGCAUUUGCCAUGGGUCCAUAAUUUUUUUUUGUAUUGUUUUAAAGGUUCAUAAAUUAUCAAAAAAAAAAUCAUAAUUAAAUAAAUCUAAUUUACUAAUUAAAAAACAAAACAAGCAGAAAUUUGCACUUUUAUUAGGGAGAAUUUGGUGUAUAUACAUAAGAGGACAUAAAAUAAAGAAUAUAACAAUACUACAGUAAUCACUAUUUGAUUGGACAAUUUGGCAUAUUUUUAAUUUUAUUCUCCUUACGAGCGUGUGUCACGUACAUCUAAUAUAAUAAACAUAUUAUACCGUACUAUGUAUAUUAAGUAAAUAGUAUAAAAAAAUACAGAAAAAUAUUCAAAAGUAGCAUGCAUUUGAAGAGGAGGAGCAACAAGGAAAGAAGAAGAGAGGAAGAAGAGGAGGGGGUGGAGGGAGAAGGAGGGAUGAGAAGUAAGAGCAAGGGCAGGAGAGAGUAAAAAGAAGAGGAGGAGGGAAGAAGAAGAAGAAGAGGAGGGAGGAGGUGGAGGGAGAACCGGAGAAGGAAGGAGGUAGAAGAGGAGGAGAGAGCUCCAAAAAAUUAUACUAUUUACGUAAAUAGAAUAAUAUACUACUAUAAAUAUUAGUAACACACUGUUUUAAAUACGUUUAAUUAAAUGUACUAUUUUAUUUUAAUAAAUAGUAUAGUAUAAUUUUUGUCGAUAUUGUUUAAAAAUCUGUUUUAAAAAUUUUAAGUUAUGCCAUAUGUAAAAAGAUAUGUAUAUCUUUAGUAACAUAAUAAUUUGGUUGAAUUAUAUUUGCUUUAAAAGAUAU